AAAGUCCUGGCUCAUUUAUUCAGCAAAACCCAAGGGCCCCCGAACAGGUCAGUCACCAAGCCAGCGGCGGUGGCCGGGCCGGUCUUCCCAGGGUCGCCGGGAUCUCCAGAGGGGCUUAAAGCAACAGCGGGAGGCCUUCCCUCGGUUCAGGGGCUUUUCUCCAAACUUCCCCCGCCUCUGCUCUCCUGCCUACUGCCCACCGCCCUCCCCACGAAAUCGCGAGGCCUUGGCAACGAAAAGCAAGCCGUCCAGCAGCGAAGGGAACCCCGCCCACCCUCUUUAAAGAGCCACGGCACCGCCCCCGCGUCACCCAGCACCGAGGCACGGCCUUCUCUUCGCCUCUCAGGAGAGGGCCCCCCGCGAUGCAGCGCCUUCUGCUCACUACAACUGAACAGCAUGUGGACACAUUUUGAGAAACUGUUUCAGCUCUUGAAGGAUAUUCACAACUGGUCCCCUAUAGGGAAACCAGCUUCCACGUACCCCGACUACGCCGGAACGCGGACCCGACGGCGCAGCAAGCCCCCCGCCCUCCGGCCCGCGGCACUCCCGGCUUCGGUACCAACCCGCCCGGCCCCCAAAGGGCGCCGCGUCUCACCUCCGCCCCCCACGCCCCUCGGCCUGCAACCAACGCCACCACCACUCGUCCCCGGACGACAAGCCGGGCAUUCCACAGCACUGCUCCGCCCCUCCGGGGCACCGCCGCCUGCGACCCCGGCCGCCUCGGCCUUGCUCUAGCGACACAAACCUCGUCGCUCAAGGAGACCGAGGCCGGGCGCAUGGGAGCCACCCGACCCCAUCCCGUAGCGGGAUAGGGCCUGUCUUCACCCCGCCAGGCGCUGGGCCGGGAGGCCUUUCCUGCCCCAUCCCGGGAAACAGCGCCGUCCGCCCGCGAUCCGGGGGUGCCAGAGCCCCCGCCCCAGCCGGCAGGAGACAGCCUGGCGUCGGGACACGGGGGACGCCUGCGCAGAAGAACGCGCCCGGCCCCUCCGCCACGCAGGGUAACAAUACCCCUCAGAAAGACCGGCUGGGGGACGCCGCGCGCGCCCCGACGCGUCCCGCAGCGCAACCGUCCGCACGUGAGCGCGCGCGCCACCGCCGCUCCCGCUGACAGGGUCGCCUCACCUGCGCCGGGCUCCGCCCCCCUUGUCGCUGGAGGAGGUGGUGACCCUUCUCCGACCCGACCCGACAGUGUCGGAGGCGGGAACGUCCAGGCCGGCGUCUCCGUGAUGGGAUUUCCUCCCGCUUCCGCCCAGCCCCGCCCACCCCGCCUCUCGGCCCCCAGCUCCUUCA
rnacentral:lncRNA from 1 species